rnacentral:rRNA from 1 species
UACGUAGGGGGCUAGCGUUGUCCGGAAUCAUUGGGCGUAAAGAGCGUGUAGGCGGUCCGGUAAGUCCGCUGUGAAAGUCGGGGGCUCAACCCUCGAAUGCCGGUGGAUACUGUCGGGCUAGAGUGCGGAAGAGGCGAGUGGAAUUCCUGGUGUAGCGGUGAAAUGCGCAGAUAUCAGGAGGAACACCAAUAGCGAAGGCAGCUCGCUGGGACGGUACUGACGCUGAGGCGCGAAAGCGUGGGGAGCAAACGGG